GACGAACGCUGGCGGCGUGCUUAACACAUGCAAGUCGAACGGAAAGGCCCUGCUUUUGUGGGGUGCUCGAGUGGCGAACGGGUGAGUAACACGUGAGUAACCUGUCCUUGACUUUGGGAUAACUCCAGGAAACUGGGGCUAAUAUCGGGUAGGAGCACCUGAUGCAUGGUGGGGGUUGGAAAGUUUCGGCGGUUGGGGAUGGACUCGCGGCCUAUCAGCUUGUUGGUGGGGUAGUGGCUUAACAAGGCUUUGACGGGUAGCCGGCCUGAGAGGGUGACCGGCCACAUUGGGACUGGGAUGCGGCCCAGACUCCUACGGGAGGCAGCAGUGGGGAAUAUUGCACAAUGGGCGGAGGCCUGAUGCAGCAACGCCGCGUGCGGGAUGACGGCCUUCGGGUUGUAAACCGCUUUCGCCUGUGACGAAGCGUGAGUGACGGUAAUGGGUAAAGAAGCACCGGCUAACUACGUG
rnacentral:rRNA from 1 species